CAGGGAGGACUUGUAGAAAACCCUUUUCUGACAUCAAUUGUACUGUUACCAGCAUUAUAGUUCCAGAGGAGCGAUUUGUUCUGCAGAGAUAUGAAAAUGAGUUGAUGUUCAUUUGUGAAGAGAUUAUUCCUUAAACAUUUUCUAGAGUUUCACAUAUUUUAAUUUGAUAGACUAAUGUCCCUCAAAUUGCUUUUAUAAUCGUUUAUGUUGUUUUAGGGAUUCUGACAGCAUGAGAUUUUAAAGUAUAAAUAACAAAGUAUGUUUUAGAGUGUAAAAAAGAUUAAUUGAAUUAAUGAUUAUGAGAUACAAUUACAGGUUCAGAAAAGCUGUGCGGCAUUGGAAUAUCAAGAUGUAAGACCUGCUGAAUCUAUCUCUAUAAAUUGUUCAUGUGGACAGCACUUUGCCAUUGUUUUUUUUUUUAAUUUAAUUAUUACUCAUAAAACCCAAAAGAUUCCAAUCCUGAAUCCAUGGAAAAAUGGGCCAAAGUGAUGGAUGACUUCAAUCAUAUGACGAGUCCGUCUUUAAUUACUGAGUUUUUCAAUACAACUGUAACACCAGAACGGAUGUAAAACCCUUCAGAAGAUCUAUCAGCCUCUUUUAUGCCCUGCAGUUCAUUCAAAAGCAAAUUUUUAGUACAUCUUUCAUCAUAUGAAAAUUCAUCACCUUGCUUGAGUUGUCUAUCUAAUAUCUUCUUUUACUGAAAAUUUAAUGAUUGUCUCAUUUAUUGUGAAGCUUUUAAGGGAAUGAUUUAGGCUAUGCUUGGAUAUCUGUUGGAACCAGUGCCCUAUUUACAUUCCACUCAACUGAUAUCCAAACACAUACUUUGUGGCUUGCUAAGUAAAAGUUAAGGGAAUCUAUAAAUAAAGGGUGUGAGAAUAACAUAAUUCCAAUCAAAGUAAAUUUGUGUAUCAAAUGGAAGGUUUAUCAAGUAGCCCUCUUGUACUGCUAUAUAAAACAGUUUUGGAAGCAUACCUCUGAAUUGGCUAUUAUCACAUUCUUUCCGAUUCUAGCAUUUUUGUCAAUGAUACACUCUCUGCAGAUAUGUGAGAAUAAGUGAGCAACUUGUUUAGAGAAACUAAUGGUUGAGUUCGAGUUACAGGUUCAUACCUGAUUUUUGUAUUUUCUCCUAUUCCUACUGGAACUCCUCCCUCAGCUAACAGUGCUGCUGCUUCUGUUUCAGUUUCAUAGAAAUCAGCACCAAGCAUCACUGUGUCCUGCACAGGAGUGGUAUGCAAUCAUGGACGAAGUCAGAACAGAUGAGUAAAGAGGUGAAAAUUUAACACAUUAAGCAAAAUCAACAAUUACUAAUUAGAGGAGGCAGUAUAAAAAUUUUAAGGAGACAAUUAUAGCAAUUGAAUACUAUUUUACUAAGGAUUUUUUCUCUUGGGGGUACUGCCCCAUUUCUUAUAUAUGUAGUUCCGUCCCAAGAUACAAUAGAGCUGGGUGAGUGCACACAUAGAAAAUAAUCAUAUCAAAACUGAACAAAGAACUUGUGCAAUGUUUAAGCUAUGAACUUGAGACUAGCUACAUAACUGAUAAAUCAGAUAUAUAGUGUAACACUUAUAGCAAUAUGCAUUGUCAUCUUCUGUAAUUCUCUUAGACAGUAAAAUUGGCACACCAAACCUUUAAAUGAACGUUUGAGUUUAUUCUGGAUCUGAUUCCAACUACACUGUGCUCAAUGAAGGCAUUAUUCAAGAAGCUUCCAUGUGCUAUGAUUGAAUCAACAAUCUGCAUAAAGGAAGGACCAAUAACAAAGUAAAUUAAAAUCUUGGACAUCCAACCACAUGAAUUACUCAAUACCAGUUAAAAAGGUAGAUGAUAAUAUUGGCAUGCAGGCAUAUAUUAAGUUUAUGGUUUUGGUUGUAUUCCCGACAAAUAAAGUUCACCCUUCCCUCAGUGAAAGCCAAUAAGGCUUUGGUGCUUCUAGUGUGAGAUUCACAAAAUUUCUCAAAGGGUAAGUUUGAAGAACUAACCUUGCUAUUGUCAAUCUUGGAUGGUGGUAAGUUUCUCCUUGAUGUAUACAUGGGUUUCGCUGCAUCAUAGAAGCUAAACUUGGAUGGCUGAAAAUCACAAAAGCUUUUUUAAGCACUAAGAUUUAGAUCUCAAUCAUAUGGAACCAAAACAGAAAUGAGUGAUUGAAAUCAUGUUUAUCGUUCAUUUAAAGAUUGAAGUUUAAUUCAUUUCUUCGGUUAAGUUUACCCCAAGAACAACCUUUCACUAAUUACAAAUGAACUCGAUACACGCUUUAAUAUUGAAGCUCAAUAAGACUAGCUUUACAGAUAAAUUUUGAUACUCACAUGCUCUGUGAGAGCUAGAUUUGCCUCAAAGAAUGAUCGGAUGGUUCCUAUGUCCUCCCAGUAAUCAUUGAAGAGAUAAGCCUGCAUGCAAAUAUUUGCUAUAAGUAUGCAUAGUAGGUGAAAAUAACUUUCUGGUAGACUUUAAGGUAAGGUUCCACAUUCUAUAUUAGUAUAUUUCUAGAAAGACCUUAGUAGCCAAGAGUUUUGAUGGGCAUCUCCCAAGUCUUGAUUUUCACCCUUUAUGAGUGUGUUGUAUUGUGUAUGCAUAUCUGAAGACAGAUAUGCAUAUUGGUUGUGUCCGCAACAGAAGUACACUAAAUUUGAUUUGGCUCCUCUGAAGUUAGACUCACUUUAAAGGAUAAAGUAAGCUAUCACAACCAUUGGUUAUUUAAUGAAUACCAUGGUUUGUUAUACGUGUUCAAGUAUAUGAUCACAAUCACUGGCGUUGAUUUCUUAAUCGAUGGUUGCAUGUCUUACUUUACCUUCUAAAAUGAUUAUCUUAAUUUAGAGGAAUAAAAUCCCACUAAAUUUUACUGUGCUAAAAAAGAAUGAUAUAUAGUAAAAUCAUAUUGUUUGAAGCUUUUUAUUCCAAGUCAUACCUUCAUGUAAAAUUCUGCAGCUGAGGCAGGAAUGACCUCUGAUCCAAAGUCAUUUGCAGUUGGAAAGCGCCAUCUAAAUUAAAUUAAUUUGUUGCACUUAGCAAACAAGCUUUGCAAUAGGAUUGAUUUUUUUUUCAGUACAUAUUUCUGUAUUUUAAAGAUUGUAUGACUUUUUUGCUUGAUAGUAAUCAGUACCUUAAUAGAUUAAGAAGUAUCUCCUUCUUGAAGACGUAUACUCCCAUGGAAGCAAUAUAUGGUUUCUUUAUAGCCUCGUCUUUUGAAAGACCCAGAACUGUUGUAUCAACUUGCUAAAUUACAAAGCAGUAUUAGCAGUGAAUCUAAUUGUUGAAACUCUGGUGUUUUAGCAGUAUGAUGAUAAACAUGACUUACCAUUGCUUUCAGGUCUGCUCCUUUGGGCUUUUCACUGAAUGAAAGGACCCUUCCUUUAUUGUCUAUCUUCAUCAGACCAAAAUCUGAGGCACGGCUAUCAUGGUUGCAAAGCAGAGUUUCAAAUAGUGAUAUAUGGUAAGUAUAAUUGAGCUUAGAGUUUGAUAUGGAUUAUCGAGUAAGCUAGUCUUUGAGGUGCGAAUUUUCCUUGUAGGCCUGACAUUGAUAAGAAAAAAGCUGGUUCUAAUUUAGAUUUGUAGCAUGUUUGGAUCAUCUUAUUUUUCCUCGGAACCAAUUCUUGCACUCAGAAGCUACUCACAAAAGCUUCUUACUAGAAUUGACUUUGGCUUUAGAAUCAAUUGUAGAAUGAUUUUCAAACAAUGCAUGUUUGGAUCAGUUUCUCUUCGCUUAGAAUCAACUCUGACACUUAGAAGCUACCUACAAAAGCUUCUUCCCAUAAUUGAUUUUGACUUCAGAAUCAAUUAUAGGCAUAUUUUCAAACAUACACACUUAACUUACGUAAAUUGAUUGCCUUGAAUAUCCUUUUUAUUAUAUUGGCAAGAAAUUUACUAUGCAGGUAAGGAAACUACCUGUCAUCCAUUGGCAGACAAGAAAGUGUGAUAUCUGCCCCACUCUCCCUAUGAUUCUGGAUAAGAAGGUGAGUCAAAACAUCUGAGAGUCAAUAGUAUGAAUGCAUUACUUGAACAAAGUCAAUAAUUUGAGUCAAACAAGUUUUUUGAUUGGAUGUCUCGGUGCCUUACUUGAACAAAGUCCAUAUAGUCCAUGCGGUAUAGGUGAUCCCCAGAAAGAAUCAAAACAUCCUCAAUAUCCUUGCUUCUAGCGUCCUACAAAAUGAAAAUAACAUAUUCUUCAUCAUCACACUUAACAAUGAGCUUCAAUUUAUGUAGUUUUCUAAUCAUUGUAGCCUGAUACCUCAAAGAGCCAGUGGAACUGUCUCACAGCAUCAGCGGUACCCUGAAACCAGUUUUUACCUUGCUCUCCUGGAGUUUGAGUUGCUGCAAGAACCUGAAAUAGAGCAAACACUAAGAUAAUCUUCUGAGUCUGGUUACUUCGCCAUUCAUAAUUGUGUUCUAAAGCUCAUUUGAACUCAAUGGCUAGCUGCUUUUCAGCUCCACAUACACACAUAAUAUAAGUCACUUCUGGGUUUCAGAAUUGAUUCUGAAGAAACAAAAACUGAUUAAACAUGCUAAUAUGCUGAGAUAUAAUGCAAGCGAAAACAAGUAAAAAGAUGGGACAUGGGAGAUACCUCAACAUAGCCAUCUCCAAAGGUGACUCCAGUACCAGAAUUGUAAGCUCGUGAGAUAUGCCUGUUGAGUGAGGCUGAAUUAAACUGAGUGAGAAUAUACACCUUGUUGAUGCCACUAUUGAUGCAGUUGCUCAUUGGCACAUCAAUUAGCCUGUAAGCACCUCCAAUAGGUACCUGCCAUAGAAACCCCAGAGAAGAUGCCAAAUUCAUAUAGAGCUGCAUAACAUUAUGCCAGUGAAGUGCACUAAAUAGCAAGGACUACAAUAUAUUACUAUUCACGUUUUUCAUUUGCUUAGCCAUGGUAUUAAGAAGUAACUACUAGUUUAUAGCAAAAGCUCAUCUCAUAGAAGCAAAAAUUUAACAGGGUGACCAAACAGCUGGUACCACCUUGCUUAGAGUUAAUAGAACAACAAUGUUUAGUUUCACGGUUUACACGAAAUCUAAGACAGGUUUACUCAGAAGUUAAGGCUCGCAGUUUCUAACCAGAAGUGAUUCUAGAACAUUCCAUCAUGGAAACAAACAUACUAAAUGAAAAUGGUAAAAAUAUAGGAAUAGAAACUUACAGCAGGUUUGGCACGCCGCUUAGUGAGAGGGAAGAGACGGGUUCCAGCUCCACCACCUAGUAUAAUUGCCACAACUGUCCUUGCGUCCCUUUUCUCCAAGUCUAGGUCUCUCAACUGCACCCAUUCAUCGUAUGGAAGAAACCACUAACAUUUUACAAAUUAUGCAUAAAUCCUGUGGCGGCAGCAUUGAAUUUAGCCACUUUUAACUUGAACCCCGUUUACUUGUGAACUUCAACUAGAAGUUCAUGUGAAAUUUAUUGGUAGAAAAAUGUAAUCUAUAUAUAGAAAGCAAAAGACACUACUAGUAAAUUUUUAAAAAGAGAUUAUUGGUUCAAUUCCCAUGUAAAUGGUUAUUGUGUAUGUAUGAAGUUAUGGACCCAUAUGGUCAUUUGACCACUUAAAAUAAUUAAGAAUUGAAAUAAAAACUCCUCGGCAAGAAAAUUUAAUGUGGCAUUCAUCGUGUUGCACUAACAUACGGUUUGGAAGAGCUUGGUUGAGUUUAUUUAGUUGCAUAAGCGUUUAUACAAAUGUUUGAGCUUAUUUCGAUAAGCUAAUCAGAUUAACGUAUGAAUAAGCAAUUAUAUUCACUAUAAGCUGUGAAUAAUCAAAUUAGAUUGUGAAUAAGCACUCAUGUGUCAUAUAAUAAGGGCUUAAUUAAGCUGUUUAGCCGCAUAAUUUUUUUUAUGUAUUCUACUUGUCCAAGAUUCCAAAUUUUAGUAAACUUGUUUGAACUUUCAUGUUCUGUUUCUUGACAUUUGUUUAUAUUAAGGUGCCAAAGAGGAGAAGCAAAAACCUUAGAUUGGCUGGUCACAUCAGCAGUGAGGGACAUGGAUAUAUGCUGCUUCUUAACAUUCUUAGUGACACCACUACCACGUUGUAGUUCAAGCUUUCUUCCCAUGAUUUCUCCA
rnacentral:lncRNA from 1 species